GACGAACGCUGGCGGCGUGCCUAAUACAUGCAAGUAGAACGCUGAAGGAGGAGCUUGCUUCUCUGGAUGAGUUGCGAACGGGUGAGUAACGCGUAGGUAACCUGCCUGGUAGCGGGGGAUAACUAUUGGAAACGAUAGCUAAUACCGCAUAAGAGUAGAUGUUGCAUGACAUUUGCUUAAAAGGUGCAAUUGCAUCACUACCAGAUGGACCUGCGUUGUAUUAGCUAGUUGGUGGGGUAACGGCUCACCAAGGCGACGAUACAUAGCCGACCUGAGAGGGUGAUCGGCCACACUGGGACUGAGACACGGCCCAGACUCCUACGGGAGGCAGCAGUAGGGAAUCUUCGGCAAUGGACGGAAGUAUGACCGAGCAAC
rnacentral:rRNA from 1 species